rnacentral:rRNA from 1 species
UACGUAGGGUGCAAGCGUUGUCCGGAUUUAUUGGGCGUAAAGAGCUCGUAGGCGGUUUGUCGCGUCGGAUGUGAAAACCCAGGGCUCAAUCCUGGGCCUGCAUUCGAUACGGGCAGACUAGAGUAUGGCAGGGGAGACUGGAAUUCCUGGUGUAGCGGUGAAAUGCGCAGAUAUCAGGAGGAACACCGGUGGCGAAGGCGGGUCUCUGGGCCAAAACUGACGCUGAGGAGCGAAAGCGUGGGAGCGAACAGG